GUUCUCACUUCAACAGCACAUAUACGAAAAAUGGAACAACCCGAGAAGAUUAGCAUGACCCCUGCACACGGAUGACACACAAAUUCAUGAAGUGUUCCAUAAUUUU
ensembl:snRNA U6 U6 spliceosomal RNA